rnacentral:rRNA from 1 species
UACGUAGGUGGCAAGCGUUGUCCGGAUUUACUGGGCGUAAAGAGCGCGCAGGCGGUCGUUCAAGUCGCGUGUGAAAGCCCCCGGCUCAACUGGGGAGGGUCACGCGAUACUGAUCGACUCGAAGGCAGGAGAGGGAAGUGGAAUUCCCGGUGUAGUGGUGAAAUGCGUAGAUAUCGGGAGGAACACCAGUGGCGAAGGCGGGUCUCUGGGCCGAUAUUGACGCUGAGGAGCGAAAGCGUGGGGAGCGAACAGG